ensembl:lincRNA
AACAGAAACAGCUUCAGAGAACAAAGGACUGCACAUUAAUUCCCCGGAGCGAGGAUGCGGCCAAAUGGAGUGCAUCCUAUAAAACAUUAGCAACAAAAGGAAGAUGGGAGAGAAAGAGACAGAGAUGGAGGAGCUAGGAGGGAGAAAAAGUUAACUUGAGGAAAGCUAUCCUGCUAUUUCUUUCUUGUUAUACAGGAACAUCAACCAGUUCCCCCCUGAAACCCCCUUUCUCCUAGCCCCAUGGAUAGAUUAAAAAACAACAACAACAACAACAACAACAACAACGACAACAACAAAAAACCAAAAGCAGUAGCUCUCAAACGUAGGCUGGGAUCCCAGCUCUGAUUUGCUGUGUGACCUGAGGAAUUGCAGCAUUCCCUCGCCUACCAGGAUGGUUCCCCGUGGUCUCUGGGGUUGAGGCUUUCAGGCUUGGAAGACUGGCCAGCCCUGCCUCUUCCUGGAGCUCAGACUCCAUCUCAGCAGGCUUGCUUGUUACGAAGCCACCACCAGGGGUUAAUGUGCAGGUCCUCGAAGCUCCCGGCAGCCACUGCCAGCUCUCUUGACCCCACCUGUCAGGCCCUGCAAUUCAUGGCCCUUCCUAGGGCAGAAGCCAUGUGCCAUAGAAC